rnacentral:rRNA from 1 species
UACGUAGGGCGCAAGCGUUGUCCGGAAUUAUUGGGCGUAAAGAGCUCGUAGGCGGCUUGUUGCGUCGACCGUGAAAACCCGGGGCUCAACUUCGGGCUUGCGGUCGAUACGGGCGGGCUAGAGUUCGGUAGGGGAGACUGGAAUUCCUGGUGUAGCGGUGAAAUGCGCAGAUAUCAGGAGGAACACCGGUGGCGAAGGCGGCGCUCUGGACCGAGACUGACGCUGAGGCGCGAAAGCGUGGGGAGCAAACAGG